rnacentral:rRNA from 1 species
UACGUAGGGGGCGAGCGUUGUCCGGAGUUACGGGGCGUAAAGCGCACGCAGGCGGUCUGCUAAGUUUGGAGUGACAGUUGGUGGCUUAACUGCCAAAGUGCUUCGAAAACUGACAGACUUGAGGGCUUCAGAGGGACACGGAAUUCCGGGUGGAGUGGUGAAAUGCGUAGAGAUCCGGAGGAACACCAAAGGCGAAGGCAGUGUCCUGGGGAGUACCUGACGCUCAGGUGCGAAAGCCAGGGGAGCGAACGGG